rnacentral:lncRNA from 1 species
CUCUUCAAUAUAUAUUUAAUACAUUUAAUAAUGUAUAUACAUUUGUACAUUUGUAGCUAUAACAUACAUUUUUGUACAUUGACAUAUAAAACUUAUUGAAUUGAGAGGUUUUUAAAUUUAAAAUAUUUUUUUUCCAUUGGAAUGUCUGAUGUGCAUGAUGUGACAGUGUACAUGGUGUAAGACCUUCUCCAUGUUUAUCAUGUUAAUUGCUCAGCUGCUUAUUUUUGAGAAAUUAAAUUUUAUAAUAGAAUGCUAUGAUAUCCAAACUUUUCAUUUGUACAUGUUCAUGUAUAUCACAGGACUGUUGAAGGUUGUUAAAAAAGGGGCAUACAUGUAUAUAUGAUUUUAAAUAUGAGUUUAGACCAUCACCAGUCAGGGGACUUACUACUGAAAUAAGUGAUUUUUAAAUCACUUAUUUGAGUAGCAAAUUCGAGGUUUUGUCACAAAUUGGGAUUUUGUAGUUUUUUCAAAAUUUUAAACACAUACAUUGUAGGUUCAAAUAAUAUCUUUUAAUUAGUAAAAUUAAAAAAAAAUGAACCUGUUUGCUUCUUUUAAGUAGCAAGGUUUAUGCCUUUGAUGCUAUCAUUUAGCUGAAAAUUCUAUUUUAGUUGAAAAAAUGCUAUAAUAAUGGCUUUACAUAAUGAACUGAUACUUUCUUAAAAGAUUUUUCCCAGCAGUGUGAGUAUUUUUCCUGUGAAGUUCUUAGUUUCAUCUUUCAGAUUAUGUUUUAAAAUUCUACUGUUCGCGAUAAAAAUUUCACUGUUCGGGGGUGUUCAAAUUAGUGAGGGUUAUUAAAAGAAUGAUACUUUAAGAAGUGAUUUUUGUGAAGGAAAUUGAGGUCUGAUACUUAAACAAGUGAUUUUUAUGUCAUUAUCCUAGAUUCAGUACAAGGUCAUCACCUGAAAUGACCUGGUCAUCCUAGACAACACAGAUGUUGGUUCUGAUAAGUUUAGAAACAUAAUUAGUCCCUGGAUCAUUAGUAUUCUAAUUAAAGCUACAAUAAAAUUAAAUCACUUCUUCUAGUGAUUAAUUUGUACUACUUAAAUAGGUGAUUAUUAAAGAAAGACAACUCUAACUUCCAACCUUUAUGGAAAUAAUGUUACUUGAAUCAGUGAUUUAGAAAAUCACUUAUUUAAGUAAGUCCCCUGACUGAUCACUGUCAAAAUAAUCAUGAUACUGCAUGAUCAUGGGAAUCAUUAACAUGAUUAAGACUUUACAAUUGUAAUAAAUUUUUGAAAGCCACUAGGCAUUUUCAAGUGUACAACUCCUUAUAAUAUGUCUUUAUAUAGUCCAGAGAUAUUUUGAUAUGAAAUGAAAGUAUGAAUUGAAGUUUUGGUAAAGAAACCCUGUUUUUCUUUUUAUUUCUUGUGCAUGUGUACAUGCAUAUUAUACAUAUAGUCUAGUUUUUGGUGAAUGGGUCAUAAUUUGAAAGAAAGAAUUUAAGUACCAGUUGCUCAGUGCUAUUAGCAUGAUUAAGGUACUGAAGAAUGAAUUUAGGUACUAAAGAAUUCCUUGAUGUACUUCAUGUAGAUGUUUCAAUUCAUUUAUAGUUUAUAAUUUUUUUAUCCUCCUCCCCAAAAAUUGGAGCAGACUGAGAGCUACAGAAAUGUUGAUUAGAGUUAUUCUCUUGCUCAGUGAAGCGACAAAGACAAUAACCUGCUUGUCUUAUGUGCAUAAUCAUGAUAAUGUCAAGAAGAAAAAUCUCAUCAGCUAAAAGCAAUUUAAAAAAUAUACUUAAAUGUAGUGCAUGUAGAAAUACAUGUAGUUUAUCGUGUUUAUACUUGAAAUGAUGCAUAAUAAUACACUACAACUUGUGAACUACAAAUACAUGUGUAUACCAUAUAAAUAUGUACCAUACUACCAUAGACAUCAAAUUUUUCAGAAGGAAAAGGGCAUGGUGUCACACCAUACUUAAUUGCCUUAGAUAAAACAAUAGACAUGUACACAUGUAAUGUAAAUGUUAGUCCUUAGUUUUCUGACAUACUGUCAUAUUUGUCGUUUACAAAAUGUAUAUAUACUAUAUGUAGGGAAAUGUUUACAUUUUAUCUUUUAUUUAAAUUUUUGCAUUAGAAUAAACUGAACUAUAUAUAGUUAUAGUUAUAAACUGCACAUAUAUUUCCACCAGAAGAUGGGUUAGAACCAAGAUAUUUAUUUUUACAUAUCCACAAGACAGAGGACCAUUCAUACAAUCUCUCACUCGGACAAGACUGAUAUUAUCUUGUCUUAUAUUCCUGACUGAAUUCAAUUUUUCUAUACUAAAUAUACAAUUUUUCUUUUCCGAACAUUUUUAGGGUAAAGGGUGCAAAAAAAUGAUAAAAAUUUAUUAUAUCUAACAUGUUCAAUUUUGCUGUCUCUUGAUCUUUGCACCUUAGACCAAACAAAUACAAAUACACAUGUUUUGUUCAUAAACUAUAUUGGGCAUUGUUCUAUAUACUUUAUUGGUGCUAAACAAAAAGUCUCUACUUAGCCUUGCUUACAUUGUAAUCAAAUUGUUCAUAACAUAUUUUAAAGUAGACAUGAAAAUUUAUAGUACAUAGCUAUUGGGAAAUAGGAAGCAGAAUUUAUUUUAUGGGCCUGACCAUUAAAGGUCUGGUAACUGCUAAAAUAGAAAAUACAUUUACCUUCAAAGAUUAUUUCAGAGUUUGAAUUAACUGGCCAUUAGAAGGAAAAGCAUUUAACAGUGACAGUCACAUUUAAUUAACAAAAUCCAAUUAAAAGUGUUGUCCUAUAUUUUCUGUUAUUUGAAACAAAUGUUUGAAAGCUUUUAUCUGUUUUCUGUUUUUUCUUUAGAAUAAAUUGUUUCUGAGAUGAUAAAUCACAAAUUAAAUAAUAAAUGAGGUGUGUACAUGUCACAUGUAUUGAUCAUGAAAGGUCCAUGGUAUUCUGGAAAAAUGCCAAACAAAAUAGUUAAAAUAUAGAAAAAUAUCAAUGUUAUUCUUAAAUAUAAUUUCCAAACAAAGGGGGAUAAUUUCGCUGUUUUUUCUCUCACUUUCUGCAAAGUAUUCCUAAGUUAAUAGAAAUGUUUUCAUGUUAAAGGUUAAAUGCAUUUCAAUCUUCAAUGUAAGAAGUCAAACUUUGAAAAUUAUUGUGAAAUAAUGCAUUUUUUGGUAACAAAAAGCUAGACAAUAUCCAUGUAUUUCAAAUGGCUAUUAUAAGCAACAAGGUGAAAAAAAAUGUGCUGAUUUGUGAAUGAUGAAUUUAGAAAUGCUUUUAUCUGUCCCAUGCCACUAUAUAUAAUACCUUACGACAUUCACCAUUUGUUUAUUUUACAUGUUUUUGUUUAAAUUUUUAUUGUGUUUGUAAUUAAAAUAGUUGUUUUUUAUCAAAUUUUACAGUGCUUUCAGAAAGGAUUGAAUUUAUGAAAUGUCAGUCGUUUUAGUUAGCAAUGCAUGAUGUAAUAUAAGAUACUCAUUGAAUUUUAUUGUUAUGAAAUAAAUCAAUUUUGGUUCUAUUUUGUAUUAGAUAAUAUAGAUUCUACAUGUAUUGAUUUAAAUUAUAGGACAUUGUAAUCUCUAUAAUUCGAACUACACAUUUAAUUAAUUUGACCAUAACUUGUUUCGUCUUCCAAUUUCGUAUUUCAGUGUUAAAUUACUUCUUCUCUUAUUUAAUAUGACUUUCUUUCUUUUAUUUUCAUUUGCAAUAAGUGAUAUAUGAGAGCUAGUCUGAUGAAAUUUCUAAAAUUUUGAAAAGAAUGUAGUCAGUUUUGAAGACUUAUUUUUACAAUGUAUAAACUUUUUUUUUAGGGAAGGGGGAUUUACCAAAUUAAUCAACCAAUGAAUAAAAGCACUGGAAGAUGCAUGGAAAUAGUUUUUGUCCUUUUUGGUUUAAGAUAAAAACAAUGUGGAUCAAAAUUACUUCUUUGUCAUUUAUGCAAAUAUUAAAUAACAGACAUGAUCUAAUUAUAGGUAAAAUUGAUUAUUCCUGGUAUGUUAUUUAUGUUUACAAGAUCUUUGUUGUGUUUUGUUUGAUGAAGUUAAUAUAAAAGUGAAAAUAAAUGUUUUUAUUAUUGCUCCAUUUAAAGAUUUUGAAGAUGGUCAUAACAUCAUAUGAAUUUUAC